GAUGAACGCUGGCGGCGUGCCUAAUACAUGCAAGUAGAACGCUGAAGGAAGGAGCUUGCUCUUUCCGGAUGAGUUGCGAACGGGUGAGUAACGCGUAGGUAACCUGCCUGGUAGCGGGGGAUAACUAUUGGAAACGAUAGCUAAUACCGCAUAACAGUAGAUGUUGCAUGAUAUCUACUUAAAAGGUGCAAUUGCACCACUACCAGAUGGACCUGCGUUGUAUUAGCUAGUUGGUGAGGUAACGGCUCACCAAGGCGACGAUACAUAGCCGACAUGAGAGGGUGAUCGGCCACACUGGGACUGAGACACGGCCCAGACUCCUACGGGAGGCAGCAGUAGGGAAUCUUCGGCAAUGGACGGAAGUCUGACCGAGCAACGCCGCGUGAGUGAAGAAGGUUUUCGGAUCGUAAAGCUCUGUUGUAAGAGAAGAACGAGUGUGAGAGUGGAAAGUUCACACUGUGACGGUAUCUUACCAGAAAGGGACGGCUAACUACGUG
rnacentral:rRNA from 1 species